rnacentral:rRNA from 1 species
GAUGAACGCUAGCUACAGGCUUAACACAUGCAAGUCGAGGGGCAGCGCAGUGUAGCAAUACAUGGGCGGCGACCGGCGCACGGGUGCGUAACGCGUAUCCAACCUUCCCGUUACUCAGGGAUAGCCUUCCGAAAGGGGAGAUUAAUACCUGAUGGUGUUCAAAUUCCGCAUGUUAUUUGAACUAAAGAUUUAUCGGUAACGGAUGGGGAUGCGUGACAUUAGGUAGAUGGCGGGGUAACGGCCCACCAUGCCUACGAUGUCUAGGGGUUCUGAGAGGAAGGUCCCCCCACACUGGAACUGAGACACGGUCCAGACUCCUACGGGAGGCAGCAGUGAGGAAUAUUGGUCAAUGGUCGGAAGACCUGAAACCAGCCAAGUAGCGUGAAGGAUGAAGGUUCUAUGGAUUGUAAACUUCUUUAUACGGGAAUAAAACCACCUACGUGUAGGUGCUUGUAUGUACCGUAUGAAUAAGCAUCGGCUAACUCCGUAGCCAGCAGCCGCGU